GACGAACGCUGGCGGCGUGCUUAACACAUGCAAGUCGAACGGAAAGGCCCUGCUUUUGUGGGGUGCUCGAGUGGCGAACGGGUGAGUAACACGUGAGUAACCUGCCCUUGACUUUGGGAUAACUUCAGGAAACUGGGGCUAAUACCGGAUAGGAGCUCCUGCUGCAUGGUGGGGGUUGGAAAGUUUCGGCGGUUGGGGAUGGACUCGCGGCUUAUCAGCUUGUUGGUGGGGUAGUGGCUUACCAAGGCUUUGACGGGUAGCCGGCCUGGGAGGGUGACCGGCCACAUUGGGCCUGAGAUACGGCCCAGACUCCUACGGGAGGCAGCAGUGGGGAAUAUUGCACAAUGGGCGGAAGCCUGAUGCAGCAACGCCGCGUGCGGGAUGACGGCCUGCGGGUUGUAAACCGCUUUCGCCUGUGACGAAGCGUGAGUGACGGUAAUGGGUAAAGAAGCACCGGCUAACUACGUG
rnacentral:rRNA from 1 species